rnacentral:lncRNA from 1 species
GCCCCCACGAGAGCCCCCCGACGCUGGCCGGGGGCCGUGCGUGCCUGGGGCGCCGCGCUCUCGCCUCUCGCCCGCGUGGGGGGCUUGCGGACCCCACAGCGGGAGCGACCGGGCCCGGCCUGCCUCCCCCGCGCCCGCGGCCGCUUCUCCCCCUGGCGGCAGGAUCCUGGGCGGCCGGUGGCUCCGAGAGCGCGCAGUGGAGCCCGAGCUGAGCCGAGCCCGAGCCACCGCAGCCGCCACAUCCCUGAGCGCCGCCCGGGUGCAGGGUCGCUGCGGGAGAGCGACCCCGCGGCCGCCAGGGUAAGUGUGGGCGAGCCCCGGAGCCCCACCGCCCCGGCCCUCACCUGCACCGCCCCCGCCGCGCACCCUCGCCGCCCGCCGCUUCCUCUUGUCGUUGUUUGCCUGGGCUUUGGGGGUGCAGAGCGCGGGGCAUUGGUGUGUGUGUGUGCCAGCGGAGGAGGAAGUCAGGUGAGAGGCCUGAGCACAACCCCCGCGCCCCGCAAGCCAGCUUGUGUGGGGUGUGUCGCUCCCCAGUAGGGGCAUGCGGGCCAAGUUUUCCCCUCUCUUCAAUGUUUGAUGGAGAAGAUCUUUCCUAGAGGGGACCUCCUUCCCUUCAAACUGAUGGGCUCUUCUUGCUAUCCUCUUCUCUUGGGCACCCCUAUUGAGGAACACAUAGUGGAUGGAGGAGGAGGGGGCCUCUUGCAGACCCCCUUCUCAACCCCAGCUAUUUGCAUCAGUAUCAUUUUCCUGUCGGCAGCUGUAGGUCGACGCACCCAACCAGAAGGAGAUGCUUAAGCCACUGUCCAAGUCUCUUCUCCCACCCUGACCCACCCAAAAGCAGGGGCAAAGAGGUCAAGAAAUGCGGAUUUCGUAGGAGGGGAGGCUGGGCCCAGGGACCUUUUCAACUGGUGAAGCUCCAAAGAACUCUGAAAGGUCAAAGUAGCUGAAGGCUUGGACCCCCAAGCUAGGGAGAAAUUGGACUCUAUCAACUUUAACCCACUCCCCUGCUACUCCUUCCCCACACAACCCCCAGCUCUAAGGAAGCUAUCAACUAACAGGUCUUUUGUUUCCUGUUGUGUCGCCUUUGGGAAAUUUGCAUUGAACGUGACGAUAGAAAAUUACUACUGUUUACUCGAAGUUAAGGGGGUUGCAGAACGAAAACAGUUUUUACUUUUCUCUUUGUGUGUUUGGCAAGGAGUGGAGCUGUUAGGUUCGUGGCAGGAAUUGCAGAAGCUCAGUUGUAAAAAUAAGGACUGUAGAACUGCCUGGGUCUGUUUUUAGCAGCUGCACUUUCUUGCGUUCUUUCACAUAAGGCUUGCUCUCUCAUUAAGUCCCCAUAAAUAAUUGUAUGUGGAGCGAAGGCAGUCAGGGUGGCAGGAUUGAGAUUGCUGGGAGUUCCAUCCCUCCAGCGCAGAGCUGUUUGCAGGCAAGUUCCUGGAAAGUGACUGUGGGCUGAGAAUUCAGUUUUUCCUAAAAGCUCUGUCAGGUCCUCUUCUGUCGGUUGCCUAUGAAUCAAGCCUGACACGGUGGGUGACUAGCGAUUUGAGCCUUGGUAGCAAACACGUCGACGGUGCAGUGGGAGUUUUUGUUUGUGUUUUGUUUUUUGGUUUGGUUUGGUUUUUUUUUGUUUUUGUUUUUGUUUUUUUGGUGAGGUCAUUCUAAAUGAAGCAAAAUGACAUAGUUCAGGCAGCUUUCUGAGAGCCCCCUCGUCCAUCCUUGAUUUCCCUAGAAUUCUCCAAUUUUUUCAACUUUUUUUUUAUAAUUCAAAAUACCAUGCCAAAGGCAUAAGGACAUAAACAAAUAUGAACUAAUUUUCAUUUGGGGAACUACCUCCUCCCCCUUCUGCUCCUCCUCCCCUUCUUCUUCCUCCUCGCCCCCCCACCCCCAAGCCAACGAGCCCCCUGG